UGGGGAAUAUUGGACAAUGGGCGAAAGCCUGAUCCAGCAAUGCCGCGUGUGUGAAGAAGGUCUUCGGAUUGUAAAGCACUUUCGGCGGGGACGAUGAUGACGGUACCCGCAGAAGAAGCCCCGGCUAACUUCGUGCCAGCAGCCGCGGUAAUACGAAGGGGGCUAGCGUUGCUCGGAAUGACUGGGCGUAAAGGGCGCGUAGGCGGCUUGCACAGUCAGAUGUGAAAUUCCUGGGCUUAACCUGGGGGCUGCAUUUGAUACGUGUGGGCUAGAGUGUGAAAGAGGGUCGUGGAAUUCCCAGUGUAGAGGUGAAAUUCGUAGAUAUUGGGAAGAACACCUGUGGCGAAAGCGGCUCACUGGACCAUUUCUGACGCUGAUGCACGAAAGCUAGGGGAGCAAA
rnacentral:rRNA from 1 species